rnacentral:lncRNA from 1 species
CUGUGGGGAGUGGGGCACUGAGACAGAGAUGUGGGGCACAGAGAUGUGGGGCACAGAGAUGUGGGGCACUGAGGCACAGAGUUGUGGGGCACAGAGACAGAGAUGUGGGGCACUGAGACAGAGACGUGGGGCACAGGGACAUGGGAUGACAUCGGCGCUGUGACCCACAUGGGGACAUGGGACACUCUGACCCACAUGGGGCUGUGGGGUGCUGUGACCCACAUGGAUCUGUGGGGCUGUGGGGCGCUGUGCCCCACAAGUGCAUGCCCCACGUGUGCCCCCAGGCACGGUCUGUGGGGCUCUGUGCCCCACAAGUGCGUGCCCCACAAGUGGCGCUGUGCCCCACAAGUGCGUGCCCCACAAGUGGCGCUGUGCCCCACAAGUGCGUGCCCCACAUGUGUUUCCCCAGGCAUGAUGUGUGGGUGUGUGGGGCACUGUGCCCCACAUGGGGCUGUGUGACCCACAAGUGCGUGCCCCACACGUGUUUCCCCAGGCACGGUGUGUGCGUGUCUGGGGCACUGUGCCCCACAAGUGCGUGCCCCACAAGUACGUGCCCCACACAUGUUUCCACAGGCAUGGUGUGUGGGUCUGUGGGGCGCUGUGACCCUCAUGGGACUGCGUGCCCCACAAGUGCGUGACCCACAAGUGGCGCUGUGCCCCGCAUGUCGAUGCCAGGCAUGGUGUGUGGGUCUGGGUUUCUGUGGGGCGCUGUGCCCCACAAGUGCGUGCCCUACAAGUGGCACCGUGCCCCACAAGUGUGUGCCCCACACGUGUUUCCCCAGGCAUGGUGUGUGCGUGUCUGGGGCACUGUGCCCCACAAGUGCAUGCCCCACAAGUGCGUGCCCCACACGUGUUUCCACAGGCAUGGUGUGUGGGUCUGUGGGGUGCUGUGCCCCACAAGUGGUGCUGUGCCCCACAAGUACGUGCCCCACAUUUCUUCUCCCAGGCACGGUGUGUGGGUCUGUGGGGCACCGUGCCCCACAAGUGGCGCCAUGCCCCACAAGUGCAUGCCCCACAAGUGCGUGCCCCCCAAGUGUCGCCCUGCUCCACACGUGUUUCCCCAGGCAUGGUGUGUGGGUGUGUGGGGCGCUGUGCCCCACAAGUGCGUGCCCCACACGUGUUUCCCCAGGCAUGGUGUGUGGGUCUGGGUUUCUGUGGGGCGCUGUGCCCCACAAGUGGCGCCGUGCCCCCCAAGUGCAUGCCCAACAAGUGGCGCCGUGCCCCACAAGUGUGUGCCCCACACAUCGUUCCCCCACAGGCAUGAUGUGUGGGUGUGUGG